UUCCGGUUGAUCCUGCCGGACCUGACUGCUAUCGGAUUGAUACUAAGCCAUGCGAGUCAUUGUAGCAAUACAAGGCAGACGGCUCAGUAACGCGUAGUCAACCUACCCUAUGGACGGGAAUAACCUCGGGAAACUGAGUAUAAUGCCCGAUAGAACACUAUACCUGGAAUGGUUUGUGUUUCAAAUGAUUUAUUGCCAUAGGAUGGGACUGCGGCCUAUCAGUUUGUUGGUGAGGUAAUGGCCCACCAAGACUAUUMCAGGUACGGGCUCUGAGAGGAGUGGCCCGGAGAUGGGUACUGAGACACGGACCCAGGCCCUAUGGGGCGCAGCAGGCGAGAAAACUUUGCNAUGUGCGAAAGCACGACAAGGUUAAUCCGAGUGGUUUCUGCUAAAGGAACCUUUUGACAGUCCUAAAAACACUGUUGAAUAAGGGGUGGGCAAGUUCUGGUGUCAGCCGCCGCGGUAAAACCAGCACCUCAAGUGGUCAGGAUGAUUAUUGGGCCUAAAGCAUCCGUAGCCGGCUCUGUAAGUUUUCGGUUAAAUCUGUACGCUCAACGUACAGGCUGCUGGGAAUACUGCAGAGCUAGGGAGUGGGAGAGGUAGACGGUACUCGGGAGGAAGUGGUAAAAUGCUUUGAUCUCUCGAUGACCACCUGUGGCGAAGGCGGUCUACCAGAACACGUCCGACGGUGAGGGAUGAAAGCUGGGGGAGCAAACCGGAUUAGAUACCCGGGUAGUCCCAGCUGUAAACUAUGCAAACUCAGUGAUGCGUUGGCUUAUGGCCAGCGCAGUGUUGCAGGGAAGCCGUUAAGUUUGCCGCCUGGGAAGUACGUACGCAAGUAUGAAACUUAAAGGAAUUGGCGGGGGAGCACCACAAGGGGUGAAGCCUGCGGUUCAAUUGGAUUCAACGCCGGG
rnacentral:rRNA from 1 species